AGAGCGAACGCUGGCGGCAGGCCUAACACAUGCAAGUCGAGCGCCCGUAACAAUACGGGAGCGGCAGACGGGAUAGUAACACGUGGGAACGCGCCCUUCGGUUCGGAAUAACUCAGGGAAACUUGAGCUAAUACCGGAUACGCCCUUACGGGGAAAGAUUUAUUGCCGAAGGAACGGCCCGCGUCCGAUUAGCUAGUUGGUGAGGUAAUGGCUCACCAAGGCGACGAUCGGUAGCUGGUCUGAGAGGAUGACCAGCAUCACUGGGACUGAGACACGGCCCAGACUCCUACGGGAGGCAGCAGUGGGGAAUAUUGGACAAUGGGCGCAAGCCUGAUCCAGCCAUGCCGCGUGGAUGAUGAAGGCCUUAGGGUUGUAAAGUCCUUUUAACGGGGAAGAUAAUGACGGUACCCGUAGAAUAAGCCCCGGCUAACUUCGUGCCAGCAGCCGC
rnacentral:rRNA from 1 species